rnacentral:rRNA from 1 species
AUACGUAGGUGGCAAGCGUUGUCCGGAAUUAUUGGGCGUAAAGCGCGCGCAGGCGGAAUAAUAAGUCUGUCGUGAAAGUGCGGGGCUCAACCCCGUGAUUGCAAUGGAAACUGUUAUUCUUGAGUGCAGGAGAGGAAAGUGGAAUUCCUAGUGUAGCGGUGAAAUGCGUAGAUAUUAGGAGGAACACCAGUGGCGAAGGCGACUUUCUGGACUGUGUCUGACGCUGAGGCGCGAAAGCCAGGGUAGUGAACGGGAUUAGAUACCCCGGUAAUCCUGGCCGUAAACGAUGGGUACUAGGUGUAGGGGGUAUCGACCCCCCCUGUGCCGGAGCUAACGCAAUAAGUACCCCGCCUGGGGAGUACGGCCGCAAGGUUGAA